rnacentral:rRNA from 1 species
AUAUGAUGAAGUAAGUAAGGGCGUACGGUGAAUGCCUUGGUGCCAACAGGCGAAGAAGGACGCGGCAAGCUGCGAAAAGCCUCGGGAAGCUGCAAGCAAGCGAUGAUCCGGGGAUAUCCGAAUGGGGUAACCUGAUCGAGGCAAUACUCGAUCGUUCAUACCUGAAUACAUAGGGUAUGAAACGCGAAACCCGCUGAAGUGAAACAUCUCAGUAAGCGGAGGAAAAGAAAGAGAAAUCGAUUCCGUAAGUAGUGGCGAGCGAAAGCGGAUGGAGCCCAAACCGAAGGUAUUCCUUCGGGGUUGUAGGACCACGUCAUAUUCGACCAUACUGGAUAGUAGAACAGCCUGGAAAGGCUGGCCGGAGAAGGUGAAAGCCCUGUAGACGAAAUCCAGAGUGGGAAUUAGUGGUAUCCUGAGUAAUACAUCACACGUGGAACGAUGUAUGAACCCGCGCGGACCACCGCGCAAGGCUAAAUACUAGUUGGCGACCGAUAGUGAACAAGUACCGCGAGGGAAAGGUGAAAAGAACCGCUGUGAGCGGAGUGAAAUAGAACCUGAAACCGUAUGUCUACAAAGUGUCAGAGCAGAGCAAUCUGCGAUGGCGUGCCUUUUGUUUAAUGAGUCUGCGAGUCAGUGUUUGUGGCAAGACUAAGGGCUUCCGGCCCGGAGUCGCAGCGAAAGCAAGUCCGAACAGGGCGCAAUAAGUCGCAGGUACUGGACCCGAAGCGGAGGUGACCUACCCUUGGCCAGGUUGAAGCAUGGGUAAAACCAUGUGGAGGACCGAACAGGUGAACGUUGAAAAGUUCUCUGAUGAGCUGAGGGUAGGAGUGAAAGGCUAAUCAAACCCCGUGAUAGCUGGUUCUCUUCGAAAUGCAUUUAGGUGCAGCGUCACGUGCUGAUGCGCGGGGGUAGAGCACUGACAAGGCUAGGGGGCACACCCGCUUACCAAACCUUAUCAAACUCCGAAUACCGUGCAAUGGAACGUGGCAGUGAGACAGUGGGGGAUAAGCUUCAUUGUCGAGAGGGAAACAACCCAGACCAGCAGCUAAGGUGCCUAAAUAACGCUCAGUGGAAAGGAUGUGGGAUUACACAGACAGUGAGGAUGUUGGCUUAGAAGCAGCCACCAUUUAAAAAAUGCGUAAUAGCUUACUCAUCGAGUGAUCCUGCGCCGAAAAUGAUUGGCGAUCAAGCGUUAUACCGAAGCUCUGGACUUUGCCGCAAGGCAGAGUGGUAGAAGAGCGUUGCAUGCGCGUCGAAGGGCGAUGGCGACUGACCCUGGAGCACAUGCAAGUGAGUAUGCAGACAUGAGUAACGUUAAGCCGGGUGAAAUCCCCGGCCGCCGUAAACCCGAGGUUUCCAGGGCAACGUGUUUCGUCCCUGGGUUAGCCGGGACCUAAGCCGAGGCCGAGAGGCGUAGGCGAUGGACAUCAGGUUAAUAAUCCUGAGCUCGCAACCCUUAAACUGGGGGGACGCAUGAGAAAAGAUGACUAGGUUAUUGAAUUCCGAGUUGAGUCCACGGACUCAGCGCAUCAUUGGAUCGAGUGCCAAGAAAAGCCCCAGCGUAUGCUAAGCGACCCGUACCGCAAACCGACACAGGUGGGUGGGUAGAAUAUACCAAGGCGUAAGAGUGAAACCUGGUUAAGGAACUCGGCAAAUUAGCCCCGUAACUUCGGAAGAAGGGGUGCCUGCAGCGAUGCAGGCCGCAGAGAAAUGGCCCAACCGACUGUUUAUCAAAAACACAGCACUCUGCAAAGACGCAAGUCGAAGUAUAGGAUGUGACACGUGACCAAUGCCGAAAGAUUUCCGCAAGGGGUUAGCCGCAAGGCGAAGCUCUAAACCCAAGUCCCGGCGAAUGGCGGCCGUAACUAUAACGGUCCUAAGGUAGCGAAAUUCCUUGUCGGGUAAGGUCCGACCUGCACGAAUCGUGAAACGAGUUGGGC